rnacentral:rRNA from 1 species
UACAGAGGGUGCAAGCGUUAAUCGGAAUUACUGGGCGUAAAGGGUGCGUAGGUGGUUAGAUAAGUUAGGUGUGAAAGUCCUGGGCUUAACCUGGGGAUUGCGCCUAAUACUGUUUAACUGGAGUACUGUAGAGGAAGGUGGAAUUUCCAGUGUAGCGGUGAAAUGCGUAGAUAUUGGAAGGAACAUCAGUGGCGAAGGCGACCUUCUGGACAGAUACUGACACUGAGGCACGAAAGCGUGGGGAGCAAACAGGAUUAGAUACCCUGGUAGUCCACGCCGUAAACGAUGAAGACUGGCUGUUGGGAACCUACGGGUUUUUAGUAGCGAAGCUAACGCGUUAAGUCUUCCGCCUGGGGAGUACGGCCGCAAGGCUAAA